AGCUGGUCUGAGAGGAUGRMCAGCCACACUGGRACUGAGACACGGYCCAGACUCCUACGGGAGGCAGCAGUGGGGAAUAUUGGACAAUGGGGGCAACCCUGAUCCAGCAAUGCCGCGUGUGUGAAGAAGGCCUGAGGGUUGUAAAGCACUUUCAGUGGGGAGGAGGAUURMUAGGUUAAGAGCUGRGUAAUUGGACGUUACCCACAGAAGAAGCACCGGCUAACUCCGUGCCAGCAGCCGCGGUAAUACGGAGGGUGCGAGCGUUAAUCGGAAUKACUGGGCGUAAAGGGUKCGUAGGUGGUUUAUUAAGUURUYKGUGAAAU
rnacentral:rRNA from 1 species